UUAGUGGCAGACGGGUGAGUAACAUGUAGGUAUCUGCCCUUUGGCCUGGAAUAACACGAGGAAACUUGUGCUAAUACUGGAUAAGUCUUUACGGAGAAAGCUUUAUGCACCAUUGGAUGAGCCUGCACUUGAUUAGUUUGUUGGUGGGGUAAUGGCCUACCAAGACUGUGAUCAAUAGCUGAUUUGAGAGGAUGAUCAGCCACAUUGGGACUGAGACACGGCCCAAACUCCUACGGGAGGCAGCAGUGGGGAAUCUUGCACAAUGGAGGAAACUCUGAUGCAGCGAUGCCGCGUGAGUGAAGAAGGCCCUUGGGUUGUAAAGCUCUUUCGUCGGGGAAGAAAAUGACUGUACCCGAAUAAGAAGGUCCGGCUAACUUCGUGCCAGCAGCCGCGGUAAUACGAAGGGACCUAGCGUAGUUCGGAAUUACUGGGCUUAAAGAGUUCGUAGGUGGUUGAAAAAGUUAGUGGUGAAAUCCCAGAGCUUAACUCUGGAACUGCCAUUAAAACUUUUCAGCUAGAGUAUGAUAGAGGAAAGCAGAAUUUCUAGUGUAGAGGUGAAAUUCGUAGAUAUUAGAAAGAAUACCAAUUGCGAAGGCAGCUUUCUGGAUCAUUACUGACACUGAGGAACGAAAGCAUGGGUAGCGAAGAGGAUUAGAUACCCUCGUAGUCCAUGCCGUAAACGAUGUGUGUUAGACGUUGGAAAUUUAUUUUCAGUGUCGCAGGGAAACCGAUAAACACACCGCCUGGGGAGUACGACCGCAAGGUUAAAACUCAAAUGAAUUGACGGGGACCCGCACAAGUAGUGGAGCAUGUGGUUUAAUUCGAAGAUACGCGCAGAACCUUACCAACACUUGACAUGUUCGUCGCGACUCUAAGAGAUUAGAGUUUUCGGUUCGGCCGGACGAAACACAGGUGCUGCAUGGCUGUCGUCAGCUCGUGUCGUG
rnacentral:rRNA from 1 species